rnacentral:lncRNA from 1 species
UAUAGUUGUAGGAUGAAAUUGAGCCUAAAACUAAAGUUUGAGGACCAAAAUGGCCGUUUUAAAAAUUUAGAGAUGAAACUGAGCCUCGAGUAAUAGUUGAGGGACCAAAAUAGCUAUUGUGCCUUUUAUCUUUGAUGUAUUUUUUAUUAAAUAACCACACAAUGGUAUACAAAAAUUUAGUUAUAGUUGAUUCUAGCCACAUACAAAAUAUUAAAUAACUUAGAGACGAACCCUUAUAUGUGGGUUGUAUAAGACUGUCCACAGCAUUGAGGUGCUUAAAAAAAUUUCUCUCUAAGGCCUGGUUCAAUUCGCGAAAUUUUUUGGAUUUAGUCACUGUAGCAUUUUUGUUUGUUUGUGGUAAAUAUUGUCCAAUCAUAGAUUAACUAGGGUC